UUUCCCUGAACAUCAAAUUGGAGAAGACAAACUCCAGGAAAGGCACAUCAAGGGCUUUUGUCCCUCGAUUUCCUAAGGUAAAAGAUGAAGCAUGGUGGUUAGUUCUUGGCAACUCAUCCACCUCUGAACUAUAUGCUCUGAAGAGAGUUUCUUUCUCUGAUCACUUGGUUACUCGCAUGGAUAUACCAUCAUCCUUGACCACUUUACAGGGGACAAAAUUGAUGUUAAUUUCUGAUUGUUACCUUGGUUUUGAACAAGAACAUUGCAUUGAAGAACUAGUCAAGUCUCAAGAAAUGGGAACAGCCGUUUGAAUUGAAGAUAUUUUGGG
rnacentral:misc_RNA from 1 species